CGGCUGUUUCAUUACCGAAGAAAACACUGGAGAAAACCUGCCCCAAAAUCUGUAGGACUUUUUUAAAAUGAUUGUCGGAUUUUUGUUAUAGAAAAUAGAUGAACUGAAUGAUAUUUUUCUUAACGCAGUGAGAACGGUGUAAAUAUCAAGAGUGUCUCGGGCGAGAUAUGUGUACAUGAGGAAGCAUGAAAUGAUCGGUUGCUAUGACGUGUAGUUCCUGGGCAUGGACGGAAUAAUUGAGCAUACCAACAACCAAUGGACGUUACGUAUUAUUUUAAUUCAUUGUUAUGAAUGAUGCGAUGAGCCAAAUGAUGUGGCAUGCAAUGUUAAUGCCUUUAUCUCUCUUCGUUUCAACCAUGCUCAUCAAUAUUAAGAAAAAUACUCAACGGCAGCUGUUUCUCCAUCACGCAGUUACCGGGUAAAGAUCAAUUCAAAUGAUUAGUUCGUUGAAUGUAUUCUACAGUAAACAGAUAUUGAUGUUCGAUAAGCAACUUGAAUAUCAAAAGUUUCGUCUUUUGAAAAU